ensembl:lncRNA
CUCAACAUCCGUAGUUAUCUGAAGAGGUUUCAGUAGCAAGCUCUCUCUCAACAUCAGUAGUUAUCUGAAAGUUUUUCAUUCGUAAGCUCUCUCUCAACAUCAGUAGUUAUCUGAAGAGGUUUCAGUAGCAAGCUCUCUCUCAACAUCAGUAGUUAUCUGAAAGUGUUUCAGUAGCAAGCUCUCUCUCUCUCAGUAGUUAUCUGAACGUGUUUCAGUAGCAAGCGCUCUCUCAACAUCCGUAGUUAUCUGAAGGUGUUUCAGGGAGUUGCCAAGUCAUCUGUGACAGUCCAUGAAGAGUUUAAACCACUUUCCUUUUGUCCUUGACCAUGUUAUGAAACUGAGUGCCGUCAGAGCUAGAAAAGGGGCUAAAUGUGUCUAAUUAUGCCAAAGUUUUACUUGAAGGAGCGCCCUAGUCAGGCUAGCUGGCACUUGUCUCGUUCAGUUUCUUCAAAAGUCCAUUCUUUAAUGAGAUGAUAGAGUGCUCAUUUGACUAAUUCAGUAAAACAUUUAUAGCAUCCCCUUUCAUUAAUAAUUUAGUCAGUUAUACAUUUUUUUCUGACCAUCGUCUUCAGUUUUUUUCUUCAAGAAACCCUGUUAUUCUUGCUGCCUGAAACUAGGGCAGGCACAAACCACAACAGAGGCAGAGGCCGCACCAAAACUAUCCCACUCACUCUGCUGUCUUGUUAUACAGUUAUGGGAAGAAUUAAUAAAAUAUAUAUUAAAGACAAGAGGAACAUUAACCAUGAAUUCAAUUCAAUUCAAUGCAAUUCAGUCUUAAGCACAAAGGAAAAACUCCCUCUUAACAGGAAAAAGCCUUGAGCGUGGUGGUGGGGUGGGGGGGAGCAUACUGCUUACCAUACAACAUGAUAAUGUAAAUGACUGAUUAAUAUCCUGAUAUUUUGGAGAGAUUUAAAUUCUAAUCUGUUAUUGAGUGUGUCUAAGAGCCUUUAGGAUCCUUACGCACAAGAUCACUUCCCCGAUGACAUUGUCCCGCCCCGUCCCGAUGGAUUCCCAAGUGGAAUUCCAGAUGUUCUAAAUGUGGACAGAGAAAUCCUGUUUACAGCCUUCUCGGUUCAAGAGAUAACUUGUGGGAACACAACUCAUGAGGAUGUGUUUGGCUUGCUGGGGGAACGGUGGUGUCGUCCACAGAGGAUGAGGAGGAUGAGGAGGAUGAAGAGGAUGAACAAUCAGUGGCCUGAUCAUGAGGAGCCACGGCUGU